rnacentral:rRNA from 1 species
UUUAAUUGGAGAGUUUGAUCCUGGCUCAGAAUGAACGCUAGCGGCGUGCUUAACACAUGCAAGUCGCACGAGAACUCUUUAGCUUGCUAAAGAUA